UGCCCCUGCUGUCGCUUGGAGCACGUGACCACCAGCCGACGACCCGGCGAGCGCCGCCCCGCGCCUGCGGCAGCCGACCCACCGGAAGACAACGGCGCGGGCGCUUCUGCGCCGUCGCCCCCGAUUGGCCGCGUCCGGGUCACGUGGCCGCGCCCCUCCUCUGGAGGGUGGCGGUCCGGGGUCCGAGCGCCGCCUCUGCGGUGGCUGGUGCGAGGGUGGCGUUGUCCCCCUCCUCCUCCGAGAAAUGCACCUGCAGUCCCCCGGGUGUUCGCAGCCUGCGCUGCUGGCGCCGGUUCGAGCCGAGCGUUCUUCCCUCGAAACAGCGGCCAACCGCGGUCAGAACGACCCGUUCGAGGUCAGAGUGUCCGUCUCCCGAGCGUCGGUCUGACCCAGAGGAGGUGCUUGGGCCGCUGGGCUUCGAGCCCAUCCUCACCGGGCUCACUCCCCCCGCCCUCCCUACGCGGGGAGGGGCCCAGGGGGCCAGGGGAGUGGUGCCGACCGACUGCAGCCCCGAGCGCGGCAAUUAGCCCUUCUUCCUGGGGGAGGGGGGAGCCGGGAGCCGAGGCCACACCCUGCACCUCCAAGUGCGGCCCGGACCGCGGGCACUUAGCCCCUCCUCCUCCGGGGUGCCCCGCCCGUCGAGGCCUCGCCCCGCACCUCCGACUGCAGUCGCCCGCCCCGGACGCCGCCCUCGGCAGAGCCGCAGGGCCCCCUCCCCCACACCCCCUCCGCGCUCCGCUGCGGGGAGUCCACCUGCUGCCCGCCGCAGCCUCCCGGGUGGGAAGCACACCCCUCGGGGACCUGGGGUGGGAGGAGGAGGCCGGGAGUGCCCUUCCUUCCCUCUUCACCACACCCUGCUGCUGCUUCCGAAUGAGCCUCUUAACGAACGGGCGGGUCCCAGGGCCGGCAUCAUCGGGAGAGCACAGGAUGAGCCCGAUGCGUCCUGUGUCGCUAGAAGGGAAGGAGGAGCUCACCAACCGAUAUGGGGUGUGCAAGGGCUCAGGAGCCAGCCCGGAGGAGCUCCCGGCGGCCCAGGCUGGAGCAAUAAUGAGCACAGAGGUAGUGCUGUUGGACGAUAACUGUUUUCGUAGCUGAACACCCACGAGUCCAUAGCGCUAUAAAGAAACAGCAGCCAAGUCGGUGAGGGAGAAGGGAAGGCCCUUUCCUGUAGAAAUAUCACAAGAGAUGUAGUAGGGGUGAGGGAAGCCGGGGAGCGACUCGAGGCAGACGCCACCAUGGUGCCUCCGCCGUGGCGGUCACCGCGAGAUCGGAGGGUGCUAAGAUCAGCGAGCAGAAGCUGAACUGCUUCACAUCUCUCCCCCAAGACGUUUGCCGAUUAACGGGAACAAAUAGUGACUUCACAGUGGAGAAACUUGAUCGACGCCCCGCAGCCAGGAUCCUGGGAACAGGUCCGAGAAAUACAGCAAGACAUUGUUCAGCGGAACAGAGUGCUCUCCCAAAGGGCCACGCUCCCGGCAGAUAAGGCAGUCCUCAGGAGCUGUCCCAGAUUGGAGCUGUGUGAGGAGCAUGACAGCCAAAGGCGACGUGGGGCUCUGGACUGGCCCAGACCGGGAAGAGUGCGUUAGUGGAGAACAUGAAAUCUGAAUCAAGUCCGGAGUCAGUUGACAGUGUGCGCCACGGACUGAAUAUUCACGUUUUCCCCAAACUUGGCCUUCGAAACCUAAUCCCCAGUGUGAUGGUGCCUGGAGGCGGGACCUGGGGGAGGUGCUGAGGUCCUAAGAAAUGGAGCCCUCCUGAAUGUGACCCGCGCCCUCAUAGAAGAGCCUAGAGAACCAGCGUGUCCCUUCUGCCACGCGAGGACGCCGAGAGAAGACAGCUGUCUGUGAACCAAGAGGCGGGCUCUCGCCAGGCACCAACCUGCCGAAGCCUUGGCUUUGGACUCCAGCCUCCAGGACCGUGGGAAGUACACGCUUGUCGUUCUGACUCCCCAGCCUGUGUUAUUUUGUUCCGGCAGCCCCACCAGACCGAGACAGUACUGCACCAGAAUUAGCUACCUGGUAGCUUUGAUAUUUAUGCCAUAGAUCUGUAAGGCGUUAACGGUGGGAAAAGCUGGGCAAAGCAUUUGCGAAUUGUCUGCGCUUUGUUUUGCUUUGUUUUGUUUGCCAGAUUCAGGUGGGCCAGGGUGAAUUCAUCCUUCUCCUGGGCUGGGGGAGCAAGGGGAGUCCACGUCCGGGCUGCCCUCGUGUCCCGGAAUGGGGCGAGCUGAUGGGAAGCUCGGGUGGAUGCCCUUCAUGGGCUCUCGGGUGCCCAACCUGCCUUUACCGGCUUGGCGAGUACGGAUGUGUCCGGCAGGGACAAGCUCGGCAGAUUGGAGAGCGGCGAGGAGCCCAGGUUGGGGGGCUUAUGGAUGAGCAGGAGGAAGGUGGCAGGAGGCGAGCUUGGACAGAUGGCCAGCGUGUCAUGGGGGCCACAUCAGGUGAGGUUAGAGAAGGAAUCCUCAUCCACCCCUUCACAUCUCCCACCUCCAUUUAGUACGGUUUGAGUAUCCUUUUGGGUUUUUCUCAAUUACCUGUGUAGCAUUAUGUCCUGUUUCCUACUUAAGGCUCUGUAUCUGGUCCAGCA